rnacentral:rRNA from 1 species
AGAGUUUGAUCCUGGCUCAGGACGAACGCUGGCGGCGUGCCUAAUGCAUGCAAGUCGAACGAGGUCGCUCCUUCGGGGGCUCAACCUAGUGGCAGACGGCUGAGUAACGCGUGGGUUGACCUGCCCUCGAGAGUGGGAUAACUGCGAGAAAUUGCAGCUAAUACCGCAUACAUUCCCUCGUUUCAAUGCGUGGGAAGAAAGAUUUAUCGCUCGGGGAUGGGCCCGCGUCCUAUCAGGUANUUGGUGCGGUAACGGCGUACCAAGCCUAAAACGGGUAUCUGGUGUGAGAGCAUGACCAGACAGAGGGGGACUGAGACACGGCCCCCACUCCUCCGGGAGGCAGCAGCAAGGGAUCGUGCACAAUGGGCGAAAGCCUGAUGCCGCGACGCCGCGUGAGGGAUGACGGCUUUCGAGUUGUAAACCUCUUUUCUCAGUCAAGAGAGAGGACUAACUGAGGAAUAAGUCACGGCUAACUACGUGCCAGCAGCCGCGCGUAAUACGUACGCGUGGCAAGCGUUCGUCCGGAAUUACGUGGGCGUAAAGCGGUCCGCUAGCGGUUCGGUAAGUCUUUGUGUGAAAGCUCCAGGCUCAACUUGGAGUCGUCGGAAGCAAACUGCUGGACUAGAGACUGUCAGAGGCAGUGUGGAAUUCCCGGAUGUUGUGGUGAAAUACGUAGAUAUCGGGAGGAACAUCAGUGGCGAAAGCGGCCUGACGGGCAGUUCUGACGCUAAGGGACUAAAGCGUGGGGAGCGAACCGGAUUAGAUACCCGGGUAGUCCACGCCCUAAACGAUGAAUGCUAGGUCUUCGGGGUGUUAAUUCCCUGUGGGCCGAAGGUAACCCAUUAAGCAUUUCGCCUGGGGACUACGGCCGCAAGGCUAAAACUCAAAGGAAUUGACGGGUCCCCGCACAAGCAGCGGAGCGUGUGGUUUAAUUCGAUGGUAAGCGAAGAACCUUACCUAGGCUUGACAUGUUUGGUGUACCGAACCG